rnacentral:rRNA from 1 species
GAGGAAUAUUGGUCAAUGGACGCAAGUCUGAACCAGCCAUGUCGCGUGCAGGAUGACGGCCCUAUGGGUUGUAAACUGCUUUUGUACGGGAAGAAAAUAGGGUAUGUAUACCCUUUUGCCGGUACUGUACGAAUAAGCAUCGGCUAACUCCGUGCCAGCAGCCGCGGUAAUACGGAGGAUGCGAGCGUUAUCCGGAUUUAUUGGGUUUAAAGGGUGCGUAGGCGGAAUGGUAAGUCAGUGGUGAAAUGGUGCAGCUCAACUGUAGCAUUGCCAUUGAUACUGUCAUUCUUGAGUACAGAUGAGGUAGGCGGAAUGUGGUGUGUAGCGGUGAAAUGCUUAGAUAUACCACAGAACACCGAUUGCGAAGGCAGCUUACUAAGCUGACACUGACGCUGAAGCACGAAAGCGUGGGUAUCAAAC